rnacentral:rRNA from 1 species
UACGAAGGGGGCUAGCGUUGCUCGGAAUCAUUGGGCGUAAAGCGCACGUAGGCGGACUCUUAAGUCGGUGGUGAAAUCCUGGAGCUCAACUCCAGAACUGCCUUCGAUACUGAGAGUCUCGAGUCCGAGAGAGGUGAGUGGAACUGCGAGUGUAGAGGUGAAAUUCGUAGAUAUUCGCAAGAACACCAGUGGCGAAGGCGGCUCACUGGCGCGGUACUGACGCUGAGGUGCGAAAGCGUGGGGAGCAAACAGG